GAAAUGCGAUAAGUAAUGCGAAUUGCAGAUUUCAGUGAGUCAUCGAAUCUUUGAACGCACAUUGCGCCCGCCGGCAUUCCGGCGGGCAUGCCUGUUCGAGCGUCAUUUCAACCCUCAGGCCCUCUUCAUUGUAGGCCCGGUGUUGGGGGAUCGCCCACGGCGCCCAGAGCGCCAGGGCGACCCCUGAAAGCUAGUGGCGGUUCCGCCCGCGGCAGCCUUUGCGUAGUAGCACAAACCUCGCAUAUGGAGCCCGGCGGCAGCCCUGCCGUUAAACAACCAAACUUUUUCAUGAGUUGACCUCGGAUCAGGUAGGAAUACCCGCUGAACUUAA
rnacentral:misc_RNA from 1 species